rnacentral:rRNA from 1 species
GCCAGAGAGGGUGAGAGCCCCGUAAGCGAAAUCCAAAGAAGGCCUAUCAGUAUCCUGAGUAGGGCGGGACACGUGAAAUCCCGUUUGAAUCCGCGAGGACCAUCUCGCAAGGCUAAAUACUAACCAGUGACCGAUAGUGAACCAGUACCGUGAGGGAAAGGUGAAAAGAACCCCGGGAGGGGAGUGAAAGAGAACCUGAAACCGUGUGCCUACAAGUAGUCAGAGCCCGUUAACGGGUAAUGGCGUGCCUUUUGUAGAAUGAACCGGCGAGUUGCGUUAGUCAGCAAGGUUAAGUCAGAAAAGACGGAGCCGCAGCGAAAGCGAGUCUGAAGAGGGCGAGCAGUUGGCUGAUGCAGACCCGAAACCAAGUGACCUACCCAUGACCAGGUUGAAGGCGCGGUAAAACGCGCUGGAGGACCGAACCCACGUAAGUUGAAAAUUGCGGGGAUGAGUUGUGGGUAGCGGUGAAAUUCCAAACGAACUUGGAGAUAGCUGGUUCUCUCCGAAAUAGCUUUAGGGCUAGCCUCGCAAAGAGGAUGCUGGAGGUAGAGCUCUGUUUGGACUAGGGGCCCGUCAAGGGUUACUGAAUUCAGAUAAACUGCGAAUUCCAGACAUUUAUGUGCGGGAGUCAGACUGCGAGUGAUAAGAUCCGUAGUCGAAAGGGAAACAGCCCAGAUCACCAGUUAAGGUCCCAAAAUUCAUGCUAAGUGGAAAAGGAUGUGGAGUUGCGCAGACAACUAGGACGUUGGCUCAGAAGCAGCCAUCAUUCAAAGAGUGCGUAAUAGCUCACUAGUCGAGUGACGCCGCGCCGAAAAUUUACCGGGGCUAAGCAUGAUACCGAAACUGUGGAUGUGCAUUUAUGCACGUGGUAGGAGAGCGUUCUAGCGGCGGUGAAGCAUGACCGAGAGGACAUGUGGAGCUUCUAGAAGUGAGAAUGCCGGUAUGAGUAACGAAAGACAGGUGAGAAUCCUGUCCGCCGCAAGACUAAGGUUUCCUGGGGCAGGCUCGUCCGCCCAGGGUAAGUCGGGACCUAAGGCGAGGCCGAGAGGCGUAGUCGAUGGACAACAGGUUGAAAUUCCUGUACUGCACCGAAUCGUUAUGAGCGAUGGAGGGACGCAGGAGGCUAGCAGCGCGUGGUGCUGGAUACCACGUUCAAGCGUCAAGUCUGAGAGCGAGUCAAAUGCUUGCUUUCAUAAAGGACAAGGCGUGAUGAGGAGCGAAAUUAAAGUAGCGAAGGCUGCGACGUCACACUGCCGAGAAAAGCUUCUAGCCAGAAACGGUGCACCCGUACCGCAAACCGACACAGGUAGUCGAGGAGAGUAUCCUCAGGUGAGCGAGAGAACUCUCGUUAAGGAACUCGGCAAAAUGGCCCCGUAACUUCGGGAGAAGGGGCGCUGGUCGCAAGAUCAGCCGCAGUGAAAAGGCCCAAGCAACUGUUUAUCAAAAACACAGGCAUCUGCAAAAUCGUAAGAUGAAGUAUAGGUGCUGACACCUGCCCGGUGCUGGAAGGUUAAGAGGAGAGCUUAGCGCAAGCGAAGGUUUGAAUUGAAGCCCCAGUAAACGGCGGCCGUAACUAUAACGGUCCUAAGGUAGCGAAAUUCCUUGUCGGGUAAGUUCCGACCUGCACGAAAGGUGUAAUGAUUUGGGCACUGUCUCAACGAGAGACUCGGUGAAAUUAUAAUACCCGUGAAGAUGCGGGUUACCCGCGACAGGACGGAAAGACCCCAUGGAGCUUUACUGCAGUUUAAUAUUGGGUAUCUGUCAAGCAUGUACAGGAUAGGUAGGAGCCGGAGAAGAUAGGACGCCAGUCUUAUCAGAGGCGCUGUUGGGAUACUACCCUUGCUUGACGGAUGCUCUAACUCAGGCCUGUGAUCCAGGCCGAGGACAGUGUUUGACGGGCAGUUUGACUGGGGCGGUCGCCUCCUAAAGUGUAACGGAGGCGCCCAAAGGUUCCCUCAGAAUGGUUGGAAAUCAUUCGCAGAGUGUAAAGGCAAAAGGGAGCUUGACUGCGAGAGAGACAACUCGAGCAGGUACGAAAGUAGGGCUUAGUGAUCUGGUGGUACCGCAUGGAAGGGCCAUCACUCAACGGAUAAAAGCUACCCUGGGGAUAACAGGCUUAUCUCCCCCAAGAGUUCACAUCGACGGGGAGGUUUGGCACCUCGAUGUCGGCUCGUCGCAUCCUGGGGCUGAAGUCGGUCCCAAGGGUUGGGCUGUUCGCCCAUUAAAGCGGCACGCGAGCUGGGUUCAGAACGUCGUGAGACAGUUCGGUCCCUAUCCGUCGUGGGCGCAGGAAAUUUGAGAGGAGCUGUCCUUAGUACGAGAGGACCGGGAUGGACGCACCGCUGGUGUACCAGUUGUCUUGCCAAAGGCAUCGCUGGGUAGCUAUGUGCGGACGGGAUAAGCGCUGAAAGCAUCUAAGUGCGAAGCCCCCCUCAAGAUGAGAUUUCCCAUUUCUUCAAGAAAGUAAGACACCUCAGAGACGAUAAGGUAGAUAGGCCGGGAGUGGAAGAGCCGUGAGGCUUGGAGCGGACCGGUACUAAUCAGUCGAGGACUUGACCAAA